CCACGGGAGUCAGCAGUGGGGAAUAUUGCGCAAUGGGCGAAAGCCUGACGCAGCGACGCCGCGUGAGGGAUGAAGGUCUUCGGAUCGUAAACCUCUGUCAGCAGGGAGGAACGGUCACUGUGCUAAUCAGCAGUGAAUUGACGGUACCUGCAAAGGACGCACCGGCAAACUACGUGCCAGCAGCCGCGGUAAUACGGAGGGUGCGAGCGUUAAUCGGAAAUACUGGGGGUAAAGUGAGCGUAGGCGGUAUGUAACGGUAAGGGUGAAAUCCCCGCGCUCAAAGUGGGAAAUGCCUUUUAAAGUGGCAAACGGGAGGGUGUGAGAGGAUAGUGGAAUUCCAGGUGUAGGAGUGAAA
rnacentral:rRNA from 1 species